rnacentral:rRNA from 1 species
AGUGAACGCUGGCGGUAGGCCUAACACAUGCAAGUCGAACGGCAGCACAGUAAGAGCUUGCUCUUACGGGUGGCGAGUGGCGGACGGGUGGGGAAUACAUCGGAAUCUACUUUUUCGUGGGGGAUAACGUAGGGAAACUUACGCUAAUACCGCAUACGACCUACGGGUGAAAGCAGGGGAUCUUCGGACCUUGCGCGAUUGAAUGAGCCGAUGUCGGAUUAGCUAGUUGGCGGGGUAAAGGCCCACCAAGGCGACGAUCCGUAGCUGGUCUGAGAGGAUGAUCAGCCACACUGGAACUGAGACACGGUCCAGACUCCUACGGGAGGCAGCAGUGGGGAAUAUUGGACAAUGGGCGCAAGCCUGAUCCAGCCAUACCGCGUGGGUGAAGAAGGCCUUCGGGUUGUAAAGCCCUUUUGUUGGGAAAGAAAAGCAGCAGGUUUAUACCCCGCUGUUCUGACGGUACCCAAAGAAUAAGCACCGGCUAACUUCAUG